UCCGGUUUGUCACCGGCAGUCCCAUUAAAGUGCUCAACUGAAUGAUGGCAAUUAAUGGCAAGGGUUGCGCUCGUUGCGGGACUUAACCCAACAUCUCACGACACGAGCUGACGACAGCCAUGCAGCACCUGUGUCCAGGUUCCCUUUCGGGCACUCCCGACUCUCAUCGGGAUUCCUGGCAUGUCAAGGGUAGGUAAGGUUCUUCGCGUUGCAUCGAAUUAAUCCACAUAAUCCACCGCUUGUGCGGGUCCCCGUCAAUUCCUUUGAGUUUUAACCUUGCGGCCGUACUCCCCAGGCGGUCAACUUCACGCGUUAGCUUCGUUACCAAGGAAUUACUUCCCCGACAACCAGUUGACAUCGUUUAGGGCGUGGACUAC
rnacentral:misc_RNA from 1 species